GACGUAGGGGGCCAGCGUUGUUCGGAAUUACUGGGCGUAAAGGGCGCGUAGGCGGCCCGGUCAGUCGGGUGUGAAAGCCCGGGGCUCAACCCCGGAACUGCACUCGAUACGGCCGAGCUGGAGUCCGGAAGAGGAAGGUGGAAUACCCAGUGUAGAGGUGAAAUUCGUAGAUAUGGGGAGGAACACCGGUGGCGAAGGCGGCCACCUGGACGGUAACUGACGCUGAGACGCGAAAGCGUGGGGAGCAAACAGG
rnacentral:rRNA from 1 species